rnacentral:rRNA from 1 species
AGGAAUAUUGGUCAAUGGCCGGAAGGCUGAACCAGCCAUGCCGCGUGAAGGUCAGUGCCCUAUGGGCGUUAAACUUCUUUUGUGCGGGAGCAAUAAGGUCCACGUGUGGGCCGACGAGAGUACCGUACGAAUAAGCAUCGGCUAACUCCGUGCCAGCAGCCGCGGUAAUACGGGGGAUGCAAGCGUUAUCCGGAUUUAUUGGGUUUAAAGGGUGCGUAGGCUGUGAGGUAAGUCAGCGGUGAAAUGCCCCCGCUCAACGGGGUGAAGUGCCAUUGAUACUGCCUUGCUGGAAUGCGGAUGCCGUGGGAGGAAUGUGUGGUGUAGCGGUGAAAUGCAUAGAGAUCACACAGAACACCGAUUGCGAAGGCAGCUUACAAAUCUAUAUCGGACGCUGAGGCACGAAAGCGUGGGGAGCAAACAG